rnacentral:rRNA from 1 species
CCCUUAGAUGUUCUGGGCCGCACGCGCGCUACACUGAAGGGAUCAGCGUGUUUUCCCUUUCCGAGAGGAACGGGUAACCCGCUGAACCCCCUUCGUGGUAGGGAUCGGAGCUUGCAAUUGUUCUCCGUGAACCAGGAAUUCCCAGUAAGUGCAAGUCAUAAGCUUGCGUUGAUUACGUCCCUGCCCUUUGUACACACCGCCCGUCGCUACUACCGAUUGAACGUUUUAGUGAGGUAUUUGGACUGGGCCUUGGGAGGUUUCGGCCUCCCUUGUUGCUCGGAAAGACUCCCAAACUUGAGCGUUUAGAGGAAGUAAAAGUCGUAACA